rnacentral:tRNA from 7 species
GCCCGGAUAGCUCAGUUGGUAGAGCAGCGGACUGAAAAUCCGCGUGUCGGUGGUUCGAAUCCGCCUCCGGGCACCA